GAUGAACGCUGGCGGCGUGCCUAAUACAUGCAAGUCGAGCGAAUGGAUUAAGAGCUUGCUCUUAUGAAGUUAGCGGCGGACGGGUGAGUAACACGUGGGUAACCUGCCCAUAAGACUGGGAUAACUCCGGGAAACCGGGGCUAAUACCGGAUAACAUUUUGAACCGCAUGGUUCGAAAUUGAAAGGCGGCUUCGGCUGUCACUUAUGGAUGGACCCGCGUCGCAUGAGCUAGUUGGUGAGGUAACGGCUAACCAAGGCAACGAUGCGUAGCCGACCCGAGAGGGUGAUCGGCCACACUGGGACUGAGACACGGCCCAGACUCCUACGGGAGGCAGCAGUAGGGAAUCUUCCGCAAUGGACGAAAGUCUGACGGAGCAACGCCGCGUGAGUGAUGAAGGCUUUCAGGUCGUAAAACUCUGUUGUUAGGGAAGAACAAGUGCUAGUUGAAUAAGCUGGCACCUUGACGGUACCUAACCAGAAAGCCACGGCUAACUACGUGCCAGCCGCCGCGGUAA
rnacentral:rRNA from 1 species